CAUCAAAACAAAAAAGAGAUGAU
rnacentral:snRNA from 1 species